GUGCUCGCUUCUGCAGCACAUAUAGUAAAAUUGGAAUGAUACAGAGAAGAUUGUCAUGGCCCUUGUGCAAGGAUGACAUGCAAAUUUGUGAAGUGUUCCACAUUUUU